rnacentral:sRNA from 1 species
CGAAUAUGACUUGAUGUCAUGUGUAUGAUUGAGUAUAAGAACUUAAACAGCAACCCGAUCUUAAAAGCCUAAGUAGUGUUUCCUUGUGAGAAGACACAAAACCAAAGACUCAUAUGGACUUUGGCUACACCAUGAAAGCUUUGAGAAGCAAGAAGAAGGUUGGUUAGUGUUUUGGAGUCGAAUAUGACUUGAUGUCAUGUGUAUGAUUGAGUAUAAGAACUUAAACCGCAACCCGAUCUUAUAAGCCUAAGUAGUGUUGCCUUGUUAGAAGACACAAAGCCAAAUCUCAUAUGGACUUUGGCUACACCAUGAAAGCUUUGAGAAGGAAGAAGAAGGUU